rnacentral:rRNA from 1 species
UACGAAGGGGGCUAGCGUUGCUCGGAAUCACUGGGCGUAAAGGGUGCGUAGGCGGGUCUUUAAGUCAGGGGUGAAAUCCUGGAGCUCAACUCCAGAACUGCCUUUGAUACUGAGGAUCUUGAGUUCGGGAGAGGUGAGUGGAACUGCGAGUGUAGAGGUGAAAUUCGUAGAUAUUCGCAAGAACACCAGUGGCGAAGGCGGCUCACUGGCCCGAUACUGACGCUGACGGAGCGAAAGCCAGGGGAGCAAAGCGGG